CAGAUGCAGUGAUGACAGCAUAGUUCAGCAGAUACACCAUGAAGAACAAACAGCAUUUGUCUUUCGCUCCUAUCUGACGCAUCCG